UACGUAGGUGGCAAGCGUUGUCCGGAUUUACUGGGCGUAAAGAGCGCGCAGGCGGUCGUUCAAGUCGCGUGUGAAAGCCCCCGGCUCAACUGGGGAGGGUCACGCGAUACUGAUCGACUCGAAGGCAGGAGAGGGUAGUGGAAUUCCCGGUGUAGUGGUGAAAUGCGUAGAUAUCGGGAGGAACACCAGUGGCGAAGGCGGCUUCCUGGCCUGUUCUUGACGCUGAGGCGCGAAAGCUAGGGGAGCAAACAGG
rnacentral:rRNA from 1 species